rnacentral:lncRNA from 1 species
AUGUCAUCAGAACACAGAAUGGGGAGGGACACUUCAAAGUGCUGGGUGUCCACAAGGGGUGGCACGAGCUGGUGUAUCCCACAGUCUCCCUGCUCCACGGCCCGCUCGCUCGCUCUUCAAGGACCACGGAACCUGUCAGAAGCCUGGGCCCCACGCCAGGAAACGUCCCUAUCAACGGGCAGAGGACUGCGCGUCCCAGGGCACUGCGGGAAACCUGUGACCACACAUGCCAGCCAUGUUGCCAGGAAGGAGGAGAGAGGCAAGGGGACGGGCAAAGCCCUGCACACACCUCAGAGAGCCACGGCCAGCACACACUCCCCACACACAGCCCCUGCCACAGCGAAACAACCGCCAGCUCGUCAGGAGUGGCCCCUGAGACCCAAAGAGACUCCCACACCAUGGAGGCAGGCCCGAGAGCUCAGGAGACACUCAGAAGUGACACCCAUGUGCGGACACACACAAGGACCCAGAUGCUGGAACUCCUUCCCCUGAGCCUGUGUCUGGUCGCCACCGAAGACUCCCUGGGGCCUCUGUGCUCCUCACAACAGGACUUCAGGAUCUGAUGCAUCGAUGGUGCGAGCCGCUGGGCACUGGGCAAGCUCGGGGGAGGCCGACCUGGAAAGACGACCUCCACCCACCCAGCCCAGCUUGUGUCUGACACAUCACAGUCUGCAAAGUCCUUUCAUGCGCACAGUGGCAGGAUCCUGCUUUGAUUCAAUGAAGAGUACUUUGCAAGUGCCUGCUGACUGCUGUGCACGCACCGCGUUAGGUCACGGGUGGCAGCAGCACGAUCCUACCAGGUGGGAGGAAAAGAGAACCGAGGUCCGGAGAGGCGGAGCUCUGCUGUGGGAGAUUCCAGCACCUACACUAGUGCCUGGUCCGUGGAAACAGGCGUCAAUUUCGUCUCUCUCCGGGGUCCCUGGAGGAUAAUACAGGCCACGAGUUCUCAAACAGGAUGCUUCUAGAAGAGCGCACGCACAGUCUUGCAUUACAUACAUGACCAGCCACGUGGUCAUAUGGUGCCCUUGGGUCAUUGGCCCAGAAACCGGGGUUUGUAGGGGUGCGUGAUGGAUAGGUUCUAAGGGGGUCUCUUACAUACGGUGCUCCCGUCCUGGGGAGCGGCCAUGUGGAGCGCUCCCCUGGGUGGAGCUGUGACUCACUGACCCAGCGUAGGCUCCAGGUUGGGAUGCCGAGCAGACUGGGGGCAGCCACGAGUUCUGGGUGGGACCCGGGAGAGAGCGAGGAGCCAAAGCACAGGCUGAGGGCAGCCCGCGGCGGGAAUCGAGCGGCUCCCUCUACUGGCGAGCGGGGGAACCGCGGCGAUUUCGGUGUAUCUGUGUGUCACUGAGUCACGAGGGGUGUCACAGGUGUGUCAGCGAGUGGGGGGUGCCAGCGCCACGCGACGCCUCGCUGGAAACGGGCGCGCACAUCUGUCACGGCUUACUUAGGGCCUGCAGAGCGUCUGAGAUGGGGCAUCCCGAGUGCCCGGCGU